ensembl:lncRNA
UGUGUGUGUGUGUGUUUGUGUGUGUGUGUGUGUGUGUGUGUGUGUGUGUGUGUGUGUGUGUGUGUGUGUGUGUGAACCAUGCUGAGACCUUCAACAAUGUCAAGGUGACCGUGAUGCGGCAUUUGUUAUAAAUACCUUCUCAUUACGCCUCUCUGAUCCAUUUACUCUACUGACCUUGUACCAUGCUGGACCUCCUGUGUAUCUUGGAUCUAUGUAACCUGUCUUCUAAAGCUGGUGACAGACUCUUGUCAUCACGUCGUGGCUGCGAUGAUGCAACAGAAGACUCACAUAGACCUUUCACACAGUCCAUGUGUCUGUCUGCAUCUCUCUGUGCUCUGACUGGAAAAGGAAAAUGUAAUUCUGUUAUAUAGUUCACCUUUUAUCUAAUAUAGUUCACUAAUCAUCUGCUGAAUUCUAACAGAGAUGUUAGAGAUGAUAAUGAAAGGACACAUACAUAACCAAGGACAUUAAAUGUCAUGCCCCAAGGGUGUGCAAACCUUUUCAUUUAAACCAGUCUGUCGGUCACUGUGAUUUGUUUUAUUCAGAGUUUAUGUAAAGUAGGACAAAAGGGACAAAGUGGUUUGCAUAAGCCUUUUUGCCUGAAGGACGAUAAAUAAGAAGGUGAGUUUAUCACCAAAUGGAAAAAAGGUCUCUGAAGGUCACAGGGACAAAAUAAAAAGAGAACACUGAUAGUUUACCUCCAGAUUUCAGCUCUCAUCUAAUACACUACUCCAAGACUCAAACUAUUAAUACUUACUAAGGAGAAAUGUUUACUGAAAAGGUACAAAAGAGCCACAGGUUAGACAAUAAAAUAUUUAGAAUAUUUCACAUUAGCGUUGUUAAUGUUAAAGUUACAAAAUUAGGGUUGUGCAGUUUUUGUAACAAAUACCUUCUCAUCACAUCUCUCUGCUCCUUUUACUCUAUUUGCUUAAUACCAUGUCAGACCUCUUGGACCUACCUUUCUAACUUAUCAUCACAACUUCUCUAUCUGUGAGUUAGCUAUGAACCAUUCUGUUGCUCAGUAGAGUGCUCACCUCUCAGUCUGCUAACAAGUGGUUUCUUUCACCAUCUGGUGACCAACAGACCUAUGAACAUGUGCAGUUAGCAUGGUCUAGUGGUUCUCCCCACCAUACCACACGCCACUCCACUGAACAGCAACAUCACAGGAAAUAAACUGUCCAAGCUGGUGGCUGGGGUUUAUCUACUCCCUGACUGCAACAGGCUGCUCUCUGUGACAGUAAACACCACAAGCAGCUGAACUCCAACACAUGAUGUUAGGAGUGCAUUUUCCAAAUGCAUUUACUGACAAUUUUUAAAUUUAUAAAACACAAAAAUAUUUGUGCUUUCAUUUUAUUAAUUUGUACUUCUUUUUUAUUUAUUAAAGAUUUAUUCUUGUCCUUUCGCCAGUUUUGGAUGGAUGUCCUGUUCGUGGAAAUGUCUUUAUGGUGCCCACUUUCCUCCACUUCUUGACAACGACUUUAAUGAGGUUCCAUGGUACAUUUAAUGUUUUGGAAGUUGUACAUGCUUUGUAAGCUCUUUGUGGACCAUGGCUUCAGCAGUUGGAUGGAACCAAGAUGACAUCAAGAAAAUCCUACAGAAACAGCUGAUCUUUACUUGUGUUUAUUCAGAAUCACUUUGAUGACAGGUGUAUGAUAAUUACUGUUGAAAAUGAGUUAAAGUGUGAUUGGUUAAUUCUGAGCACAGUCACAUGACACAUUAUAAAAGUUAAACUUAUGCAGAGUAUUGUAAGUUUUUUUUUUUUUUUCUAAAACAUUUAAAUUUGUUUUUCAUUUCAAUUUUGUUGGUUGCUAUAUCACAUUCAAGUUGGGAAAAGAUCUCACAUUUGAUCAGAUUUAUCUUGGUUUCACUGGUUUACAUUACAAAAAAAUGGUUGAUUAAUAGCACAAUACUGUGAUAAACAUGAUGUUUUAGACUGGAUUAUCAUAAUGUGAACAUUUCAAACUGUAACACCUCUACUUUACUUAAUGAAAUGGCCCACAGGAAAGACAGGUGAAGCAGUUUCUGUUUAAAAUCAGCAGCUUAGUGUGUCAGAUAUGGGUCAAAAAUAUCUGAAAAACAUUUUCUACUAUAAAAAUAUUCAAUGUAAAAAGCUCAAUGUUAAUUCCGAACCUGCUGAACAUAGAGAUGUCACUUUUCAUUACAUUAAAACAAUAAAUAUUUAUGACCAUCAAUACUGCCCUGGUGACCACAAGCUUAUUUCAUUUCGAACUGAACAGCCUUCAUCAGACACAUGUGUGUGUACUGGGUCUGUUUAAGGAUCAAUGUCUUGUCCCUACGAACAUGCUCAUAACUGUGCCACACACACCAAGGUACCAUAACAGAGCAGAG